rnacentral:rRNA from 1 species
GAGGACUGCCAUCGUAAGAUGUGAGGAAGGUGGGGAUGACGUCAAAUCAGCACGGCCCUUACGUCCGGGGCGACACACGUGUUACAAUGGGUGGUACAAAGGGCAGCUACCUGGCGACAGGAUGCUAAUCUCCAAAACCACUCUCAGUUCGGAUCGGAGUCUGCAACUCGACUCCGUGAAGCUGGAUUCGCUAGUAAUCGCGCAUCAGCCACGGCGCGGUGAAUACGUUCCCGGGCCUU